rnacentral:rRNA from 1 species
UACAGAGGUCCCGAGCGUUGUUCGGAUUCAUUGGGCGUAAAGGGUGCGUAGGCGGCGGGGCAAGUCUGAUGUGAAAUCCUGGGGCUCAACCCUGGAACUGCAUUGGAUACUGCCUUGCUAGAGAACUGGAGAGGAGACUGGAAUUUACGGUGUAGCAGUGAAAUGCGUAGAGAUCGUAAGGAAGACCAGUGGCGAAGGCGAGUCUCUGGACGUAUCUGACGCUGAGGCACGAAGGCCAGGGGAGCAAACGGG